rnacentral:rRNA from 1 species
UACGGAGGGUGCAAGCGUUAUCCGGAUUCACUGGGUUUAAAGGGUGCGUAGGCGGCUUGCUAAGUCAGUGGUGAAAGCUCGCAGCUUAACUGUGAAACUGCCAUUGAAACUGCCAAGCUUGAGUACGAUUGAUGUGGGCGGAAUACAUCAUGUAGCGGUGAAAUGCUUAGAUAUGAUGUAGAACACCGAUUGCGAAGGCAGCUCACAAAAUCGCAACUGACGCUGAGGCACGAAAGCGUGGGGAGCAAACAGG